rnacentral:misc_RNA from 1 species
GGAGGGAAAGAUGGAUGUCACGAAAAAUAACUUUGCAGCUGUGUUCAGUGAUAUUACAAAAGCAAUAGAAGAUGCAGACUUCUUAGCCAUUGAUGGUGAAUUUACAGGUCUAGAUACUCCCCAAGUUGGACAUGUUACCUUCUAUGACACACCAGAAGAACGCUACCAGAAACUGAGAAAGGGUUCUACAGAUUUUCUUCUGAUUCAGUUUGGAUUGGCUGCCUUUACAUAUGAUGAUGAAACAAAAUCUCACACAGCUAAAUUAUUUAACUUCUACGUUUUCCCGCGACCAUACACAAGACAAGCUCCAGAUCGAAGGUUUUUAUGUCAGAGUUCCAGUAUUGACUUUUUGGCCUCUCAGGGCUUUGACUUCAACAAGCUUUUCAGAGAUGGAAUACCAUAUUUAACACUGGCCGAUGAAACCCAGCUGAGGGAAACAAUUCGAAGCAAACACAAGGACUACAGCCAGUUUUCAUCUCCUGCAUUCAUGAGCCCAUUUGGGGCUGACCCAGGCCCCAGCAAGGGUCCGGUUUGUGUUCCAGAUGAGCAUAAAGAGUUUAUUGCAGACGUUGGUAACAAAGUUGCUAAGUUUUUGGAGCAGGAUGCAGAAGACACACUACAGCUGCCACCAUGUGGCGGGUUCCCCAGGAAGCUCAUCUACCAGACCAUCAGACUGAAAUUUUCUUCCUCCCUCCAUUUGGAGACCAAGAGUGGAGAAAAGAAAGAAAGAUAUAUAGUCAUCACAAAGAUCAAAGGUGAAGAUGACAUGAAAGCCAAGGAACAGGCCAAGCAGAAUGCUGAGCUGAAUGAACUUGAUGAUGCUGUUGGUUUCUGCAAGGUCACAAGGCUGUUGUCUCAGUCGGGCAAGCUCAUCGUGGGCCACAACAUGUUGCUUGAUGUGCUGCACCUCAUCAAUCAGUUCUGCAUCCACUUGCCCAAGGAAUACGAAGAGUUUAAAUCCCUCACCCGGUGUGUCUUUCCAAGGUUACUUGAUACGAAGCUGAUGGCAAGCACAAACCCAUUAAAGAAUCAUAUUCAUAACUCAACACUGGGUGACUUGAAGAAGAUCCUGGAAUAUAGCCCAUUUACAAAGCCCAAGGUUGAUCUCCCAGAAGAGUUUUCUCGGUACAGUGGUAAUGAACAUCUGCAUGAAGCGGGAUACGAUGCUUAUAUCACCGGUCUCUGUUUCAUCUCCAUGUCUAACUACUUAGGAUCUUGUCAGAAUCCACCAAAGGAAUACAUUCCUCCAAAAUCUCAGCUGAUCGAGCCUUUCAUCAACAAAUUGUUUCUGAUGCGUGUUUCCGACAUUCCCUAUAUAAAUCUGAGUGGAGCUGAUUUACAAAUGAGUCGAGAACAUGUGUUUCACAUUACAUUUCCAAAGGAGUGGAAGACCUCAGACAUUCAUGAAUUAUUUUCACCUUAUGGAAACAUCCAGAUCUCCUGGUUAGAUGACAUAUCUGCCUUUGUUUCCCUCUACAAGAAGGAUAAUGCUCAAGCCGCCCUGAAAGGUUUGUCAGCAAAGAAUUCUGUUUACAGAGUGGUCACUUACGAGGCAUACAAGAAGGAGAUCUCACCGAAACGAGACGUCCCUGUGAGCAGGAAGCGGUCAUCGGAAGAUGUCGACAUUGACAUGGCGAACAAGAAGAGAAAGUCCCUGAAUGUUCAAGCUGCCCCAUUUGUUUCAAGAUUAAAACCUGCAAUACUUGAAGACAAAAAACAAGAAAAGAAUGGAAACAACAGUUCAGGUCGUCAUAGCGACAAGAAGGCACAAGGUGAUGCAAACGAUGACCAAGGAGAUAAUAAAAUGGAAACUGGGGAAAAACUCUUUGAUGAAUCCGAAAACUGGGAUUGACCAAGCAAGAGAUUCUUGAAAUAAAUACAUCAAGUGUUUUGGGGCCUUUUUCCAAGGAACAUGUCAACGGAACUACAAUUUUCGAUGCAUUUAAUGAAGAAUAGCUAGUGCACCACGACUGGUACAUCAAAUGCCGUGGUAUGUGAUAUCCUGUCUAUGGGAUGGUGCAUAUAAAAG